rnacentral:rRNA from 1 species
CCUACGGGAGGCAGCAGUGGGGAAUAUUGGGCAAUGGAGGAAACUCUGACCCAGCAACGCCGCGUGAAUGAUGAAGGUCUUCGGAUUGUAAAGUUCUUUUCGAAGGGAAGAAGAAAGUGACGGUACCUUAGGAAUAAGCCUCUGCUAACUACGUGCCAGCAGCCGCGGUAAGACGUAGGCGGCGAGCGUUAUCCGGAAUGACUGGGCGUAAAGGGGGCGUAGGUGGCAUGGCAAGUUAGUAGCGUAACUCCAAGGCUUAACCUUGGAACUACUACUAAAACUGUUGGACUUGAGUGCAGGAGGGGCAACCGGAAUUCCUAGUGUAGCGGUGGAAUGCGUAGAUAUUAGGAGGAACACCAGUGGCGAAGGCGGGUUGCUGGACUGUAACUGACACUGAGGCACGAAAGCGUGGGGAGCAAACAGGAUUAGAUACCCCUGUAGUC